rnacentral:rRNA from 1 species
AACGAACGCUGGCGGCAUGCCUAACACAUGCAAGUCGAACGGCAGCACGGGGCAACCUGGUGGCGAGUGGCGAACGGGUGAGUAAUACAUCGGAACGUGCCCAAUCGUGGGGGAUAACGUAGCGAAAGUUACGCUAAUACCGCAUACGAUCUACGGAUGAAAGCGGGGGGAUCGCAAGACCUCGCGCGAAUGGAGCGGCCGAUGUCAGAUUAGGUAGUUGGUGGGGUAAAGGCUCACCAAGCCAACGAUCUGUAGCUGGUCUGAGAGGACGACCAGCCACACUGGAACUGAGACACGGUCCAGACUCCUACGGGAGGCAGCAGUGGGGAAUUUUGGACAAUGGGCGCAAGCCUGAUCCAGCCAUUCCGCGUGCAGGAUGAAGGCCU